rnacentral:rRNA from 1 species
AGUGAACGCUGGCGGCAGGCCUAACACAUGCAAGUCGAACGGCAACACAGUAAGAUUUUGCUCUUACGGGUGGCGAGUGGCGGACGGGUGAGGAAUACAUCGGAAUCUACUUUUUCGUGGGGGAUAACGUAGGGAAACUUACGCUAAUACAGCAUAUGACCUACGGGUGAAAGCAGUGGAUAUUCGGACCUUGCGCGAUUGAAUGAGCCGAUGUCGGAUUAGCUAGUUGGCGGGGUAAAGGCCCACCAAGGCGACGAUACGUAGCUGGUCUGAGAGGCUGAUCGGCCACACUGGAACUGAGACACGGUCCAGACUCCUACGGGAGGCAGCAGUAGGGAAUAUUCGGCAAUGGGCGCAAGCCUGAUCCAGCCAUACCGCGUGGGUGAAGAAGGCCUUCGGGUUGUAAAGCCCUUUUGUUGGGAAAGAAAAGCAGCAGGUUAAUACCCCGCUGUUCUGACGGUACCCAAAGAAUAAGCACCGGCUAACUACGUG